rnacentral:rRNA from 1 species
UCUACGGGAGGCAGCAGUGGGGAAUUUUCCGCAAUGGGCGAAAGCCUGACGGAGCAAUACCGCGUGAGGGAGGAAGGCUCUUGGGUUGUAAACCUCUUUUCUCAGGGAAGAAGCUCUGACGGUACCUGAGGAAUCAGCAUCGGCUAACUCCGUGCCAGCAGCCGCGGUAAUACGGAGGAUGCAAGCGUUAUCCGGAAUGAUUGGGCGUACAGCGCGCGCAGGCGGUCGCGUAUGUGACCGGUGACAUCCUCGGGCUCAACUCGAGGCGGCCCGGUUACACAGCGCGGCUGGAGGCAGGGAGAGGGACGUGGAAUACCCGGUGGAGCGGUGAAAUGCGUAGAGAUCGGGUGGAACACCAGUGGCGAAGGCGGCGUCCUGGCCCUGGCCUGACGCUGAGGCGCGAGAGCGUGGGGAGCAAACGGGAUUAGAUACCCCGGUAGUCCACGCCGUAAACGAUGUGGAGCCGGUGUCGGGGGGUGAUUGCGCCCGUCGGUGCCUAAGCUUACGCGAUGACUCCACCGCCUGGGAACUACGGCCGCAAGGCUAAAACUCAAA